rnacentral:rRNA from 1 species
AGCGAGUCUGCCUUGAAAUCGGAGUGCUUGCACUCUGUGAAACAAGAUACAGGCUAGCGGCGGACGGGUGAGUAACACGUGGGUAACCUGCCCAAGAGAUCGGGAUAACACCUGGAAACAGAUGCUAAUACCGGAUAACAACAGAUGAUGCCUAUCAACUGUUUAAAAGAUGGUUCUGCUAUCACUCUUGGAUGGACCUGCGGUGCAUUAGCUAGUUGGUAGGGUAACGGCCUACCAAGGCGAUGAUGCAUAGCCGAGUUGAGAGACUGAUCGGCCACAUUGGGACUGAGACACGGCCCAAACUCCUACGGGAGGCAGCAGUAGGGAAUCUUCCACAAUGGACGCAAGUCUGAUGGAGCAACGCCGCGUGAGUGAAGAAGGGUUUCGGCUCGUAAAGCUCUGUUGUUGGUGAAGAAGGACAGGGGUAGUAACUGACCUUUGUUUGACGGUAAUCAAUUAGAAAGUCACGGCUAACUACGUGCCAGCAGCCGCGGUAAUACGUAGGUGGCAAGCGUUGUCCGGAUUUAUUGGGCGUAAAGCGAGUGCAGGCGGCUCGAUAAGUCUGAUGUGAAAGCCUUCGGCUCAACCGGAGAAUUGCAUCAGGAACUGUCGAGCUUGAGUACAGAAGAGGAGAGUGGAACUCCAUGUGUAGCGGUGAAAUGCGUA